rnacentral:rRNA from 1 species
AACGCUGGCGGCGUGCCUAACACAUGCAAGUCGAACGGAGAUAUGAUUUCGGUUGUAUCUUAGUGGCGAACGGGUGAGUAACGCGUGCACAACCUGACUCUAAGAGGGGGAUAACACUCGGAAACGGGUGCUAAUACCGCAUAAGACCACGACCUGGCAUCAGGAUGAGGUCAAAGGAGCAAUCCGCUGAGAGAGGGGUUCGCGUCCCAUUAGAUAGAUGGCGGGGUAACGGCCCACCAUGUCAACGAUGGGUAGCCGAGCUGAGAGGCUGAUCGGCCACACUGGAACUGAGACACGGUCCAGACUCCUACGGGAGGCAGCAGUGGGGAAUAUUGGGCAAUGGGCGCAAGCCUGACCCAGCAACGCCGCGUGAGGGAAGAAGGCUUUCGGGUUGUAAACCUCUGUCCUUGGUGACGAAACAAAUGACGGUAGCCAAGGAGGAAGCCCCGGCUAACUACGUG